rnacentral:rRNA from 1 species
UACGUAGGGUGCGAGCGUUGUCCGGAAUUACUGGGCGUAAAGAGCUCGUAGGCGGUCUGUCGCGUCGAUCGUGAAAACUUGGGGCUUAACCCUGAGCUUGCGGUCGAUACGGGCAUGACUGGAGUUCGGCAGGGGAGACUGGAAUUCCUGGUGUAGCGGUGAAAUGCGCAGAUAUCAGGAGGAACACCGGUGGCGAAGGCGGGUCUCUGGGCCAAUACUGACGCUGAGGAGCGAAAGCGUGGGGAGCGAACAGG